rnacentral:rRNA from 1 species
UACGUAGGCAGCGAGCGUUGUUCGGAGUUACUGGGCGUAAAGGGUGUGUAGGCGGUUGUUUAAGUUUGGUGUGAAAUCUCCCGGCUCAACUGGGAGGGUGCGCCGAAUACUGAAUGACUUGGAGUGCGGGAGAGGUGAGUGGAAUUCCUGGUGUAGCGGUGAAAUGCGUAGAUAUCAGGAGGAACACCGGUGGUGUAGACGGCUCACUGGACCGUAACUGACGCUGAGACACGAAAGCGUGGGCAGCAAACAGG